CUUAAAAUGGUUCUUUCAGGUGAUAGGGUUAAUUUGCCCUAUUUAAUGAUGUUUUAUAUGAAUGAAUAUUUUCAAAGUUCAAAAACCAUCUUGCCAUAUGGAGCUGUUCUGAUUGCUAUACUCGAGGCAUUUGAUGUCUACAUCAUGGCUGAUGAUGAAGUUGUCAAGGUUAAACAUAGUGAUAUUUACAAUCAUGUAUCUCUGAGACGUAUGGGGUAUACAUUUCAUGAUGGGGUUUGGAUGCAUACGUCUACAGUAGAUGAAGAAGAACAUGGC
rnacentral:lncRNA from 1 species